GAUGAACGCUGGCGGCGUGCCUAAUGCAUGCAAGUCGAGCGAACGGGCGAGAAGCUUGCUUCUCUGAUGUUAGCGGCGGACGGGUGAGUAACACGUGGAUAACCUACCUAUAAGACUGGGAUAACUUCGGGAAACCGGAGCUAAUACCGGAUGAUAUUUUGAACCGCAUGGUUCAAAAGUGAAAGACGGUCUUGCUGUCACUUAUAGAUGGAUCCGCGCUGCAUUAGCUAGUUGGUAAGGUAACGGCUUACCAAGGCAACGAUGCAUAGCCGACCUGAGAGGGUGAUCGGCCACACUGGAACUGAGACACGGUCCAGACUCCUACGGGAGGCAGCAGUAGGGAAUCUUCCGCAAUGGGCGAAAGCCUGACGGAGCAACGCCGCGUGAGUGAUGAAGGUCUUCGGAUCGUAAAACUCUGUUAUUAGGGAAGAACAUAUGUGUAAGUAACUGUGCACAUCUUGACGGUACCUAAUCAGAAAGCCACGGCUAACUACGUG
rnacentral:rRNA from 1 species